GGUGGNGGAAAGUUUUUUCNNUGGGGGANGGGCCCNCGGNNUAUCNNCUUGUUGGUGGGGUGAUGGCCUACCAAGGCNACNACNGGUAGCCNNCCUGANAGGGCGACCGGNNACNCUNNNACUGANACACGGCCCANACUCCUACNGGAGGCANCANUGGGGAAUAUUGCGCAAUGGGCGGAANCCUGACGCAGCGACNCCNCGUGGGGGAUGACGGCCUUCGGGUUGUAAACCUCUUUCNACUUCNACNAANCCUCUUGGGGUGACGGUAGGGGUGGAAGAAGCACCGGCCAACUACGUGCCAGCAGCCGCGGUAACACGUAGGGUGCGAGCGUUGUCCGGAAUUAUUGGGCGUAAAGAGCUCGUAGGCGGUGUGUCGCGUCGGCCGUGAAAACCUGUGGCUUAACUAUGGGCUUGCGGUCGAUACGGGCAUCACUGGAGUUCGGCAGGGGAGACUGGAAUUCCUGGUGUAGCGGUGAAAUGCGCAGAUAUCAGGAGGAACACCGGUGGCGAAGGCGGGUCUNNNNGCCGAUACUGACGCUGAGGAGCGAAAGCGUGGGGAGCGAACAGGAUUAGAUACCCUGGUAGUCCACGCCGUAAACGUUGGGCGCUAGGUGUGGGGGCCAUUCCACGGUCUCUGUGCCGUAGCUAACGCAUUAAGCGCCCCGCCUGGGGAGUACGGCCGCAAGGCUAAAACUCAAAGGAAUUGACGGGGGCCCGCACAAGCGGCGGAGCAUGUGGAUUAAUUCGAUGCAACGCGAAGAACCUUACCUGGGUUUGACAUGCACCAGACGCUGGUAGAGAUAUCAGUUCCCUUGUGGUUGNGUGUGCAGGUGGUGCAUGGCUGUCGUCAGCUCGUGUCNUGAGAUGUUGGGUUAAGUCCCGCAACGAGCGCAACCCUUGUUCCAUGUUGCCAGCGCGUUAUGGCGGGGACUCAUGGGAGACUGCCGGGGUCAACUCGGAGGAAGGUGGGGAUGANGUCAAGUCAUCAU
rnacentral:rRNA from 1 species